UACGGGGGGGGCAAGCGUUGUUCGGAAUUACUGGGCGUAAAGGGCUCGUAGGCGGCCAACUAAGUCGGAUGUGAAAUCCCAAGCUUAACUUGGGAACUGCAUCCGAUACUGGAUGGCUUGAAUCCGGGAGAGGGAUGCAGAAUUCCAGGUGUAGCGGUGAAAUGCGUAGAUAUCUGGAGGAAUACCGGUGGCGAAGGCGGCAUCCUGGACCGGCAUUGACGCUGAGGAGGCGAAAAGCUAGGGGAGCAAACGGG
rnacentral:rRNA from 1 species